AUCCAUCUGACGAAUACCAAAUAGGACGAAACGUGCGUCCUGGAU
rnacentral:hammerhead_ribozyme from 1 species